rnacentral:rRNA from 1 species
AAUCAACGCUGGCGGCGUGCCUCAGACAUGCAAGUCGAACGAUUAAGACUCUCUUCGGAGAGUGUAUAAAGUGGCGCACGGGUGAGUAACACGUAGGUAAUGUACCGAAGGGUGGGGAAUAACUUAGGGAAACUUAAGCUAAUACCGCAUAAUGCAGCGGCUCGACAUCGAGACAGUUGUUAAAGGAGCAAUCCGCCUUUUGAGCAGCCUGCGGCAGAUUAGCUAGUUGGUAAGGUAAUGGCUUACCAAGGCUACGAUCUGUAACCGACCUGAGAGGGUGGUCGGUCACACUGACACUGAAUAACGGGUCAGACUCCUACGGGAGGCAGCAGUCGGGAAUUUUGGGGCAAUGGGCGAAAGCCUGACCCAGCAACGCCGCGUGAAGGAUGAAGUAUUCGGUAUGUAAACUUCGUAAGAAUAGGAAGAAUAAAUGACGGUACUAUUUGUAAGGUCCGGCUAACUACGUGCCAGCAGCCGCGGUAAU